AUGAACGCUAGCGGCAGGCUUAACACAUGCAAGUCGAGGGGUAUAGGUUUUCGGACCUAGAGACCGGCGCACUGGGUGCGUAAACGCGUAUGCAAUCUACCUUUUACAGAGGGAUAGCCCAGAGAAAUUUGGAUUAAAUACCUCAUAGUAUUAUUGAAUGGCAUCAUUUAAUAAUUAAAGUCACAACGGUAAAAGAUGAGCAUGCGUCCCAUUAGCUUGUUGGUAAUGGUAACGGUCUUACACAAGGCAACGAUGGUGUAGGGGUCCUAGAGAGGGAGAUCCCCCACACUGGUACUGAGACACGGACCAGACUCCUACGGGAUGGCUAGCAGUGUAGGAAUAUUGGUUCAAAUGGGCGCAAGACCUGAACACAGCCAUAGCCGCGUGCAAGGUAUGACGGUUCCUAUGGAUUGUAAACUGCUUUUGUACAGGAAGAAACAGUUCUACGUGUAGAAUCUUGACGGUACUUGUAAGAAUAAGGAUCGGCUAUAACUCCGUGCCAGCAGCCGCGGGUAAUACGGAGGAUCCAAGCGUUAUCCGGAAUCAUUGGGUUUAAAGGGUCCGUAGGACGGGUUUUGUAAGUCAGAGUGGUGAAUAAGCCCAUCGCUCAACGGAUGGAACGGCCAUUUGAUACUGCAAGACUUGAAUAUAUUAGGAUAGAUACUAGAAUAUGUAGUUGUAGCGGUGAAAUGCUUAGAGAUAUACAUGGAAUACCAAUUAUGCGAAGGCAGGUUACUACUAAUAGGAUUGACGCUGAUGGACGAAAGCGUGGUGGAGCGUAACAGGAUUAGAUACCCUGGUAGUCCACACCGUAAACGAUGGAUACUAGCUGUUCGGUAUGCAAUCUGAGUGGCUAAGCGGAAAAGUGAUAAGUAUCCCACCUUGGGGAGUACGUAUCGCAAGAAAUGAAACUCAAAGGAAUUGACGGGGGCCCGCACAAGCGGUGGAGCAUGUUGGUUUAUAUUCGAUGAUAUCGCGAGGAACCUUACCAAGGCUUAAAUGUAGAUUGGACCGGUUUGGAAACAGAUCUUUCGCAAGACAAUUUACAAGGUGCCGCAUGGUUGUCGUCAGCUCGUGCCGUGAUGGUGUCAGGUUAAGUCCUAUAACGAGCGCAACCCCUGUCGUUAGUUGCCAGCGAGUCAUGUCGGGAACUACUAACGUAGACUGCCAGUGUAUAACUGUGAGGAAGGUGGGGAUGACGUCAACAUCAUCACGGCCCCUACGCCUUGGGCUACACACAGUGCUACAAUGGCCGGUACAGAGAGCAGACCCACUGGGCGUACCAGGAGCGAAUCAUAUAAAACACGGUCACAGUUCGGAUCGGAGUCUGCAACUCGACUCCGUUGAAGGCUGGAAUCGCUAGUAAUACGGAAUAUCAGCCAUGAUCCGGUUGAAUACAGUUCCCAGGGCCUUGUACACACCGCCCGUCAAGCCAUGGAAGCUGUGGGGUGCCUGAAGUCGGUGACCGCUAAGGAUGCUGCCUAUGGGUAAAAACUGGUACACUAGGGCU
rnacentral:rRNA from 1 species